rnacentral:rRNA from 1 species
GACGAGGGAUCCUAGCGUUGCUCGGAAUUAUUGGGCGUAAAGCGGGUGUAGGUGGCUUGGUAAGUCGGGUGUGAAAGCCCAGGGCUCAACCCUGGAAGUGCAUUCGAUACUGCUAAGCUUGAGUGCGAGAGAGGUUAAUAGAAUACCUGGUGUAGUGGUGAAAUACGUAGAUAUCAGGUGGAACACCGGAGGCGAAGGCGGUUAACUGGCUCGACACUGAUACUGAGACCCGAAAGCGUGGGGAUCAAACAGG